rnacentral:tRNA from 1 species
GUUUAUAUAAUUUAUGUAGAAUAUUGUGUUGAAGUUACAAAAGAGAUAUUAAUGUCUAUAGACA